rnacentral:rRNA from 1 species
AACGAACGCUGGCGGCAGGCUUAACACAUGCAAGUCGAACGGGUGCAGCAAUGCAUCAGUGGCAGACGGGUGAGUAACACGUGGGAACCUUCCUAGGGGUACGGAACAACUCAGGGAAACUUGAGCUAAUACCGUAUACGUCCGCAAGGAGAAAGAUUCAUCGCCCCUAGACGGGCCCGCGUCGGAUUAGGUAGUUGGUGGGGUAACGGCCUACCAAGCCUACGAUCCGUAGCUGAUCUGAGAGGAUGAUCAGCCACACUGGGACUGAGACACGGCCCAGACUCCUACGGGAGGCAGCAGUGGGGAAUCUUGGACAAUGGGCGCAAGCCUGAUCCAGCCAUGCCGCGUGAGUGAAGAAGGCCUUAGGGUUGUAAAGCUCUUUUACCAGGGACGA